rnacentral:rRNA from 1 species
UACGAAGGGGGCUAGCGUUGUUCGGAAUUACUGGGCGUAAAGGGUGCGUAGGCGGGUCUUUUAAGUCAGGGGUGAAAUCCUGGAGCUCAACUCCAGAACUGCCUUUGAUACUGAGGAUCUUGAGUUCGGGAGAGGUGAGUGGAACUGCGAGUGUAGAGGUGAAAUUCGUAGAUAUUCGCAAGAACACCAGUGGCGAAGGCGGCUCACUGGACUGGUAUUGACGCUGAGGUGCGAAAGCGUGGGGAGCAAACAGG